ACAGAGGAAAUAACGUGCAGUUUUAAAGGGCAGUGAUCAAGGCAGCAAUCACGUUCUAGCUGAGGAAACUUCCGGAUAUUCAGGGAGCAAGCUGUAUUUUUGCAGCGUUUGUUCUGGGAGGAUUGCAGCUAUACCACCGAGAGACCGAAGCAAAUUUUCUUAAUGUUUGAUUUCACUUUCCUGAUGCUCAAGAGGGUGUCUAGGAAGCGAGGUACCGUUCAGCAGUGCUGUGCUGCCAGAAAUGCUCGCUGAGCCCGUGCGAGGAGGAAAUCUCACCGGAACUGCUGGCGUUACCCCAGAAAGACCCUCUGCAGACUGACUCCACGUCCUCAGAGCUGAUCUCAUCGGGGCCUACCAAACACAUUAACGACGUCGAAAGUAGCCUACUUUAAGAGGAAAUAUGCAGAAGAAGAACAUUUACAUCAAGAUUGCCAUGAGUAUUGUCCAAAACACCUGAUACUACCCGAGGACCGGACUUGUAUUCUAAAACUUUCUCUCCAGAAACUCCGAUUCCUGGAAGACCCUGAAGCCUACCUCCGUAGGUCUGUAUUAAUUAACAAUCUGUUGAGGAAGAUUCACCUAGAGACAGAGAGGGAGAGCUAUGAAUACUUUAAGGAGGCUCCGUGUUAUAGGACUGCUUACUCUGACGCACGAAAACGGCUGAAGUUUAUGGUACACGAGUGCUGUUCCCAGUCGCUCUAUUAUGAAGAGCUGCAUUCGUAUCGUAUCGUGCCUUAUUCUGCAGAGAACGCCGUUUACGGAAUGGGCUACACAAGCAGCCACUUGGAGCAAAAUUCUCAAUUGCUUAUUUAUAAAAUGAAUUAAAGUAGCUGUUAGACCC